rnacentral:rRNA from 1 species
GACGUAGGGCGCGAGCGUUGUCCGGAUUUAUUGGGCGUAAAGAGCUCGUAGGCGGUUUGUCGCGUCUGCUGUGAAAGCCCGGGGCUUAACCACGGGUGUGCAGUGGGUACGGGCAGACUAGAGUGCAGUAGGGGAGACUGGAAUUCCUGGUGUAGCGGUGAAAUGCGCAGAUAUCAGGAGGAACACCGGUGGCGAAGGCGGGUCUCUGGGCAAUAACUGACGCUGAGGAGCGAAAGCGUGGGGAGCAAACAGG